AACGAACGCUGGCGGCAGGCUUAACACAUGCAAGUCGAACGCCCCGCAAGGGGAGUGGCAGACGGUUGAGUAACGCGUGGGAAUCUACCCAGAUCUACGGAACAACAGUUGGAAACGACUGCUAAUACCGUAUACGCCCUACGGGGGAAAGAUUUAUCGGAUUUGGAUGAGCCCGCGUUGGAUUAGCUCGUUGGUGGGGUAAUAGCCUACCAAGUCGCCGAUCCAUAGCUGGUCUGCGAGGAUGAUCAGCCACACUGGGACUGGGACACGGCCCAGACUCCUACGGGAGGCAGCAGUCGGGAAUAUUGGACAAUGGGCGAAAGCCUGGUCCAGCCAUGCCGCGUGAGUGAUGAAGGCCCUAGGGUUGUAAAGCUCUUUCAGCGAGGAAGAUAAUGACGGUACCCGCAGAAGAAGCCCCGGCUAACUUCGUGCCAGCCGCCGCAGUAAUAC
rnacentral:rRNA from 1 species